ACACAUGCAAGUCGAACGAUGAAGCCUAGCUUGCUAGGUGGAUUAGUGGCGAACGGGUGAGUAAUACGUGAGUGACCUACCUUUGACUCUGGGAUAAGCCUGGGAAACUGGGUCUAAUACCGGAUACGACCAAUCUCCGCAUGGGGUGUUGGUGGAAAGCGUUAUGGAGUGGUUUUAGAUGGGCUCACGGCCUAUCAGCUUGUUGGUGAGGUAAUGGCUUACCAAGGCGACGACGGGUAGCCGGCCUGAGAGGGUGACCGGCCACACUGGGACUGAGACACGGCCCAGACUCCUACGGGAGGCAGCAGUGGGGAAUAUUGCACAAUGGGCGCAAGCCUGAUGCAGCGACGCCGCGUGAGGGAUGACGGCCUUCGGGUUGUAAACCUCUGUUAGCAUCGAAGAAGCGAAAGUGACGGUAGGUGCAGAGAAAGCGCCGGCUAACUACGUGCCAGCAGCCGCGGUAAUACGUAGGGCGCGAGCGUUGUCCGGAAUUAUUGGGCGUAAAGAGCUUGUAGGCGGUUGGUCGCGUCUGCUGUGAAAGGCUGGGGCUUAACCCUGGUUUUGCAGUGGGUACGGGCUAACUAGAGUGCAGUAGGGGAGACUGGAAUUCCUGGUGUAGCGGUGGAAUGCGCAGAUAUCAGGAGGAACACCGAUGGCGAAGGCAGGUCUCUGGGCUGUAACUGACGCUGAGAAGCGAAAGCAUGGGGAGCGAACAGGAUUAGAUACCCUGGUAGUCCAUGCCGUAAACGUUGGGCACUAGGUGUGGGGGACAUUCCACGUUUUCCGCGCCGUAGCUAACGCAUUAAGUGCCCCGCCUGGGGAGUACGGCCGCAAGGCUAAA
rnacentral:rRNA from 1 species